GGGAGUGGAAAAGUUAAUAAGAAGGAGGUUCAUCUACCUGAGGACAAAGACAGAUCUAUUGUCUGGGAUCCAACUCUGCACAGAUGGGUUGACAAAACUGAGCCCAAGGCUGAGAACAAGCUUGUACC